UGCCAUUUAAAUAUUGUAGGUGCGUGAAUUUAGCAAAAUAAUCCAAUAUAGUCCAGUAGCCCAUAAUAGUGGAGCACUAUCUAUAGGACUGGCAAUGUGAGAAGUUUUUA